ensembl:lncRNA
AUCACACACACUGAGAAGGAGGAGAGGAGCGAGGGAUUCAGCAAAGGACAAGAUAGCCCUGUCAAUACAGAUCCAUGGAGUGGAGUAGGAGAGCUAUCCCUGUCUCUGGGAUUUUCCUACUCUUUCUGAGGGUCACUGUGCAAAUAGGUAAAUGUAUUUUUAAUAAAGCAGACAGACAGACAGACAGACAGACAGACAGACAGACAGACAGACAGACAGACAGACAGACAGACAGACAGACAGACAGACAGACAGACAGACAGACAGACAGACAGACAGACAGACAGACAGACAGACAGACAGACAGACAGACAGACAGACAGACAGACACAAAAACAAUCACACAAAAGACAGACAGACAAAACAAACAAUCUAAAUCAAUGAAUCAAUGAACGAAGUAUCAGUAUUGGCCACUGUGACAGAAGCAAUACAUUAAAAAAAAGAAUAAAUAAAAACAUGAAUGAAUAAGUAAAUAAAUCAACUAAUCAAUGCAUGAAGUACAAGCAUUGGCCGCUGUGACAGAAGCUAGGCCUAGUAAUAACUUUCAUUCAGUUAAUGUCACUAAACCCUAAAACCUCAACUAAGUAUUGUAAUAAAUAUUGUGGAAAUUGAGCAAGUUGAGCAAGCUGCUUGGAGUAACACUAGAUUGUAAACUGUCAUGGUCAAAACAAGUUGAUGCAGUAGUAGCUAAGAUGGGGAGAAGUCUGUCUAUAAUAAAGCAAUGCUCUGCCUUCUUAACAACACUAUCAACAAGGCAGGUCCUACAGGCCCUAGUUUCUACCUUCUUAACAACACUAUCAACAAGGCAGGUCCUACAGGCCCUAGUUUCUACCUUCUUAACAACACUAUCAACAAGACAGGUCCCACAGGCCCUAGUUUAGUCACACCUGGACUACUGUUCAGUCGUGUGGUCAGGUGCCACUAAAGAGGACUUAGGAAAAUUGCAAUUGGCUCAGAACAGGGCAGCACGGCUGGCCCUUGGAUGUACACAGAGAGCUAACAUUAAUAAUAUGUAUGUCAAAAAAACAGAUUAAAAAAACACCUUAUGGAACAGCGGGGACUGUGAAGCAACACAAACAUUGGCACAGACAUGCAUCCACACACACACAUACAAACGAUAACAUACGCACAAAACAUACACAUGGAUGUAGUACUGUAGAUAUGUGGUAGUGGUGGAGUAGGGGCCUGAGGGCACACAGUGUGUUGUAGAUAUGUGGUAGUGGUGGAGUAGGGGCCUGAGGGC